rnacentral:lncRNA from 1 species
AUGGCAGAAGGGGGGUGGAACGAAGAUUUAGUGACGCCACACAUUGGCCGGGGCCGUGGGUUUUUUGGGGUACCUGAGCCUGUAGUAGGCAAACCACGUGUUUUGGUGUAUGAUUCUGCGACUAUUUCGGGCAUGUCGAAUAAUGAGUCAAAUAAACCAAAGUCUUCCACUCCUGCCAAUGUUGGUUGUGACAGUGUUACACAGCAGCUGCGCGACCUCAUUGGCGAGCUUGGAAACCAGAUUGGUGAUUCAAUUGUUUCACGGUUGUUAACUAGCCAGAAUUCUCUAUUACCUGAUUCUUCUCCAUCGGUUGAGCAGCAACUUUCUGGGUCCAUACCCCUGUCUACAAGCCUCGAUUUGUCUAAGUUAAACCUGAUAGUAAAAACCGACAUUAGAGAACCACAAAUGUUCAGGGGGGAUGGUAGCGACAAAUGCUCCAUACUAGAGUGGAUUGAGCAGAUGAAUGUUUAUCUGGCCAAAAAGGGUUGCAACAAAGCUGAUAGCGUAGAAGAAAUACUGAACCAUCUAUGUGGUCGGGCAAAGAGCAUUGUUAAGGUUAAGCUGAAAAGUAGUCCAGUUGUUGUACUUUGUCCCGAAGUUGUCUACGAGGUACUGCGGCGCUAUUUUAGCGAGAGCCCUGGCUCAUGCCAGCCGUUGGCCGACUUUUAUGCCACGCAGCCGAAGAAAAGUGAGCGCCCUGUUGAUUAUUGGGUCAGGUUGAAUGAGGCAGCCGAGCUAGCAGACACUCACCUGAAAAGAUACGGUGGCAAGAUGGAAAACAUGAGCUCAGAAGUUUCAAUGAUGUUUAUCAGAAACUGCCCUAAUUCUGACCUUUCCAGUGUCUUUAGGUGUAAGCCCAUAAGCAAAUGGUCUGCAGAGGAAGUCCAAGAGGCCAUCGACGAGUAUGAGAGGGACUGUAAGUCCUGGAAACCCGUUUCACCUGUGCCUAAGGUUGUAGUAAAUCAGGCUGUUGUUACAGAGAAAGCAGUCGGAAAUCAGGUAGCUAUAGGAAGCGAAAGUGUGGGUGCAACCUCACCAGAAUGUAUCACAGGUGUUCACACUAAACCAAAUGAAGUUAAUGAUUCGGGCACUUUAGAGCGGGUGCUGAAAAUGUUAGAACGGGUGUUGGAGCGCACAACCUUACCAGUUUCAGAAACAAAACCUCGAACGUCACCGUGGUAUCGAGCUUCUCCUUGUGCAGUGUGCGGAGACCGAUCCCAUUCGACUCACUCGCACUGUAUGAAAGAAAAAAGAUGCCUUGAUUGUUUUGAAUUUGGUCACCAACGUAGGCAGUGUCACAGGGUUGUUGCCCGGGGCGUGGCCCAGACCAGCGAUGAUCAGGGAAACUAG